UCGGAUGUGGUGCACGGCGCACAUCAGCUACCACUAAAUGGGCAUUCAAGUUGUCAAUCUGUAAGCUGAAGAACGGGGUUCGACUCCCCGCAUCCGAA